rnacentral:rRNA from 1 species
CCGGGAUUGCCUCAGUAACGGCGAGUGAAGCGGCAAAAGCUCAAAUUUGAAAUCUGGCACCUCCGGUGUCUGAGUUGUAAUUUGGAGAGGCAUCUUCCGGAGGGGCCCAGCCUAUGUUCCUUGGAACAGGACAUCACAGAGGGUGAGAAUCCCGUUCAUGGCUGGAUGUAUCCUCCAGUCGGUAGUGCCUUCUACGAGUCGAGUUGUUUGGGAAUGCAGCUCAAAAUGGGUGGUAAAUUUCAUCUAAAGCUAAAUAUUGGCGAGAGACCGAUAGCGCACAAGUAGAGUGAUCGAAAGAUGAAAAGCACUUUGAAAAUAGAGUCAAACAGUACGUGAAAUUGUUGAAAGGGAAGCGCUUGAGACCAGACUCAGCCUUUGGCAAACAAUUGUCCUUCUGGACGGUGCACUUGCCCUUGGCUGGGCCAGCAUCAGUUAGGACGGUGGAAUAAAGGCUCGAGGAAUGUGACUCCACUACGGAGUGUUAUAGCCUUGAGUGUCAUACUACCCGUCUUGACUGUGGACCGCGCCUUGGCUAGGAUGCUGGCAUAAUGGUCUUUAGCGGCCCGUCUUGAAACACGGACCAAGGAGUCUAACAUCUAUGCAAGUGUUUGGGCUGUAGACCCUCACGCGUAAUGAAAGUGAACGGAGGUGGGAACCCUGCAAGGGGUGCACCAUCGACCGAUCCUGAUGUCUUCGGAUGGAUUUGAGUAGGAGCAUAGCUGUUGGGACCCGAAAGAUGGUGAACUAUGCCUGAAUAGGGUGAAGCCAGAGGAAACUCUGGUGGAGGCUCGCAGCGGUUCUGACGUGCAAAUCGAUCGUCAAAUUUGGGUAUAGGGGCGAAAGAGUAAUCGAACCAUCUAGUAGCUGGUUCCUGCCGAAGUU